rnacentral:rRNA from 1 species
UACAGAGGUCUCAAGCGUUGUUCGGAUUCAUUGGGCGUAAAGGGUGCGUAGGUGGCAUGGUAAGUUGAAGGUGAAAUCUCGGAGCUCAACUCCGAAACUGCCUUCAAUACUGCUGUGCUUGAGAGCUGUAGAGGAGAAUGGGAUUCACGGUGUAGCAGUGAAAUGCGGAGAGAUCGUGAGGAAGACCAGUGGCGAAGGCGAUUCUCUGGGCAGUUUCGGACACUGAGGCACGAAGGCUAGGGGAGCAAACGGG